GUAGGGAACUGAAAAGGACCGACCCUUCGGGAGCCUAUACAGGUGUUGCAUGGCUGUCGUCAGCUCGUGUCGUGAGAUGUCCGGUUAAGUCCGCUAACGAGCGCAACCCUCGUCGUAUGUUAUAUGUGUCAUACGAGACUGCCGGUAAAAAGCCGGAGGAAGGUGAGGAUGAUGUCAAGUCAGCAUGACCUUUAUAUCCAGGGCUACACACACGCUACAAUGGUCUGUACAAUGGGUAGCCAAGCCGCGAGGCGGAGCCAAUCCUGAAAGCAGGCCUCAGUUCAGAUUGCAGUCUGCAACUCGACUGCAUGAAGCCGGAGUUGCUAGUAACCGCAGGUCAGCAAUACUGCGGUGAAUACGUUCCCGGGUCUU
rnacentral:rRNA from 1 species